UAGGGAAUCUUCCGCAAUGGGCGAAAGCUUGACGGAGCAACGCCGCGUGAGUGAUGAAGGUCUUCGGAUCGUAAAACUCUGUUAUUAGGGAAGAACAAAUGUGUAAGUAACUAUGCACGUCUUGACGGUACCUAAUCAGAAAGCCACGGCUAACUACGUGCCAGCAGCCGCGGUAAUACGUAGGUGGCAAGCGUUAUCCGGAAUUAUUGGGCGUAAAGCGCGCGUAGGCGGUUUUUUAAGUCUGAUGGGAAAGCCCACGGCUCAACCGUGGAGGGUCAUUGGAAACUGGAAAACUUGAGUGCAGAAGAGGAAAGUGGAAUUCCAUGUGUAGCGGUGAAAUGCGCAGAGAUAUGGAGGAACACCAGUGGCGAAGGCGACUUUCUGGUCUGUAACUGACGCUGAUGUGCGAAAGCGUGGGGAUCAAACAGG
rnacentral:rRNA from 1 species